GAGGAAAUGUUUCUUACAAGAAAAAAAGAAAAGAAAUGGGCUACAUCAAAAUAUAAAUCUGUCCCCAAUGCUCUUCUGCUGUGAACCUCACCUUUAUUACAUGUAACAUAUAUGUGGCUGUGCAGGCGGUGUAUUGCAAAGGAGAGUUGAAGGGGAGUUCUUGCGAAUUCCUACUGUACCAUGUUCUUCGCUGAGCUUGACUGGUACUCAACAUGAUAGGUGGAGAUCUUCAGUAGAAAAGGCGGGCAAUCAGGGAAAAAAAAAUAAUC